rnacentral:rRNA from 1 species
AGAGUUUGAUCAUGGCUCAGAUUGAACGCUGGCGGCAGGCCUAACACAUGCAAGUCGAGCGGUAGCACAGAGAGCUUGCUCUCGGGUGACGAGCGGCGGACGGGUGAGUAAUGUCUGGGAAACUGCCUGAUGGAGGGGGAUAACUACUGGAAACGGUAGCUAAUACCGCAUAAUGUCGCAAGACCAAAGUGGGGGACCUUCGGGCCUCAUGCCAUCAGAUGUGCCCAGAUGGGAUUAGCUAGUAGGUGGGGUAACGGCUCACCUAGGCGACGAUCCCUAGCUGGUCUGAGAGGAUGACCAGCCACACUGGAACUGAGACACGGUCCAGACUCCUACGGGAGGCAGCAGUGGGGAAUAUUGCACAAUGGGCGCAAGCCUGAUGCAGCCAUGCCGCGUGUGUGAAGAAGGCCUUCGGGUUGUAAAGCACUUUCAGCGGGGAGGAAGGCGAUGAGGUUAAUAACCUCAUCGAUUGACGUUACCCGCAGAAGAAGCACCGGCUAACUCCGUGCCAGCAGCCGCGGUAAUACGGAGGGUGCAAGCGUUAAUCGGAAUUACUGGGCGUAAAGCGCACGCAGGCGGUCUGUCAAGUCGGAUGUGAAAUCCCCGGGCUCAACCUGGGAACUGCAUUCGAAACUGGCAGGCUAGAGUCUUGUAGAGGGGGGUAGAAUUCCAGGUGUAGCGGUGAAAUGCGUAGAGAUCUGGAGGAAUACCGGUGGCGAAGGCGGCCCCCUGGACAAAGACUGACGCUCAGGUGCGAAAGCGUGGGGAGCAAACAGGAUUAGAUACCCUGGUAGUCCACGCCGUAAACGAUGUCGAUUUGGAGGUUGUGCCCUUGAGGCGUGGCUUCCGGAGCUAACGCGUUAAAUCGACCGCCUGGGGAGUACGGCCGCAAGGUUAAAACUCAAAUGAAUUGACGGGGGCCCGCACAAGCGGUGGAGCAUGUGGUUUAAUUCGAUGCAACGCGAAGAACCUUACCUGGUCUUGACAUCCACAGAACUUUCCAGAGAUGGAUUGGUGCCUUCGGGAACUGUGAGACAGGUGCUGCAUGGCUGUCGUCAGCUCGUGUUGUGAAAUGUUGGGUUAAGUCCCGCAACGAGCGCAACCCUUAUCCUUUGUUGCCAGCGGU